rnacentral:rRNA from 1 species
AGUGAACGCUGGCGGCGUGCUUAACACAUGCAAGUCGAACGAGAACGGAAUAUAGCUUGCUAUAUUUGUCAGCUAAGUGGCGCACGGGUGAGUAAUGUAUAGAUAACCUGCCCUUAAGAAAGGAAUAACAGUUGGAAACGACUGCUAAUGCCCUAUAUGCCUUUAAUACAUAAGUAUGCAAGGGAAACGCUUUAGUGCUUAAGGAUGGGUCUGUAUGGUAUCAGCUUGUUGGUGAGGUAAUGGCUCACCAAGGCUAUGACGCCUAACUGGUUUGAGAGGAUGAUCAGUCACACUGGAACUAGGACACGGUCCAGAUUCCUACGGGAGGCAGCAGUGGGGAAUAUUGCACAAUGGACGAAAGUCUGAUGCAGCAACGCCGCGUGGAGGAUGACACAUUUCGGUGCGUAAACUCCUUUUAUAUAGGAAGAUAAUGACGGUACUAUAUGAAUAAGCACCGGCUAACUCCGUGCCAGCCGCCGCCGUAA